rnacentral:rRNA from 1 species
AAGGCGAAAAGAACCCCUGUGAGGGGAGUGAAAUAGAUCCUGAAACCGUAUGCGUACAAGCAGUCGGAGCAGACUUGUUCUGUGACGGCGUACCUUUUGUAUAAUGGGUCAUCGACUUGGUCUCACAAGCAAGCUUAAGCCGUUAGGUGUAGGCGUAGCGAAAGCGAGUCUUAAUAGGGCGUUGAGUUUGUGGGAUCAGACCCGAAACCGAGUGAUCUAGGCAUGGCCAGGUUGAAGAUAAGGUAACACUUAUUGGAGGACCGAACCCACAUCCGUUGAAAAGGAUCGGGAUGAGCUGUGCCUAGGGGUGAAAGGCCAAUCAAACUCGGAGAUAGCUGGUUCUCUGCGAAAUCUAUUUAGGUAGAGCGUCAUCCGAAUACCCUCGGGGGUAGAGCACUGGAUGGGUAAUGGGGCCCCACAGGCUUACUGAUCCUAACCAAACUCCGAAUACCGAGGAGUACUAGAUGGCAGACACACAGCGGAUGCUAACGUCCGUUGUGAAGAGGGAAACAACCCUGACCUACAGCUAAGGCCCCUAAUUCAUGGCUAAGUGGGAAAGCAGGUGAGACGACCAAAACAACCAGGAGGUUGGCUUAGAAGCAGCCAUCCUUUAAAGAUAGCGUAACAGCUCACUGGUCUAAAUAAGUUGUCUUGCGGCGAAGAUGUAACGGGGCUCAAGCCAUGAGCCGAAGCUUAGGAUGCAUUAAUUGCAUGGUAGCAGAGCGUAGUG